rnacentral:rRNA from 1 species
GAUGAACGCUGACAGAAUGCUUAACACAUGCCAGUCAACUUGAAUUUGGGUUUUUAACUUAGGUUUGGGUGGCGGACGGGUGAGUAACGCGUAAAGAACUUGCCUCACAGCUAGGGACAACAUUUGGAAACGAAUGCUAAUACCUAAUAUUAUGAUAAUAGGGCAUCCUAUAAUUAUGAAAGCUAUAAGCGCUGUGAGAGAGCUUUGCGUCCCAUUAGCUAGUUGGAGAGGUAACGGCUCACCAAGGCGAUGAUGGGUAGCCGGUCUGAGAGGGUGAUCGGCUACAAGGGGACUGAGACACGGCCCUUACUCCUACGGGAGGCAGCAGUGGGGAAUAUUGGACAAUGGACCGAGAGUCUGAUCCAGCAAUUCUGUGUGCACGAUGAAGUUUUUCGGAAUGUAAAGUGCUUUCAGUUGGGAAGAAACAAAUGACGGUACCAACAGAAGAAGUGACGGCUAAAUACGUG